rnacentral:lncRNA from 1 species
AAAACACUAAUUUUUUUUUCCUAGAAGAUGGCUGCCUUGGGGGACUCCUAGAAAUUUAUUCAGGGGUGUCCUAUUACUUUUGCUGUUUGUGUACUCCCAGAAAGGACUUUUAAAAAAGAACAUCAUAAGAAAAAGAUAUAUCAUUCUGCUAUAAGUUCUCUAUGAACGUAAACAUUUUGUCUAAAUUCUUUCACUUUGGUCCUGAAAAAAAAAAGAAAAAAAGAUCACUCUUCUUUUUAUCACUGAGUAUGUGUCCCAAAAGUCACAAUCUGGGUAAUUUAUGUGUUGCUAUAUUCAUAAAUAAAUAAAUAAAUAGAUCCCUGUUCUCAACACUAACUCUGCAUUGAUACCUUCGUAAAUCAAUCAAUCAAUCAAUCAAUCCCCGUUCUCCACACUAACUCACUGUGAUGUAGCAGUAACUUACUGACCUUAGUCAGUUUGCACUGGAAGGUCUGUACACGGUGCAACUAUGUCUGUUUCUAAACAGGUGUCCACUGACUUUUCUAAUUUGAUUUGAGUGAGUCUGCAGGACUGUUCACAAAUGUGACUACUAUCUCACCUCUACCCUCCAUGGUGGACCUGUGUCUGGGCUGAGCUGGCAAAGGUGUGCACGGUGCCACAGGAGCUAGAGAUUCCUACGGCCAACUGUCCGGCUGUGUCUGGACAACUUGGUUUCCUUCUAGCUGCCCACCACUCUACCUCCCACAGUUAUACAGCCUCUUCUUCUCUGAUGACCUCUGGCCUUGUCAGGAAGGAAUGUGUUAUAGAGAUGCCCCCCCCUACCCCGUUAGACCUAAGCAUGCCACAAUCUUUAGAUUCUAUUCUAUGAGCCAAGACCAAUUGCUGUUUGCUGUCUUAAUUAGGAUUUACUGUAAGAAAACAAACACCUUCUCUGAUGACUGUUGAGAAUCUUUUAAAAUAGUAACAAUUCAGUUUAAUACUAUAGCCAUUUAGCAGAAUAAUGAUAUUAGCUUCUCUACUAGGGCCCAUGACCUACCUAGGCACAGGUUCUUGGACCAAAUAUCAGUACCAGUAUGGGUUUCACAAAACCCCAUGAUUUAAAAAUGGUUAUUUCCCAUUUUUGCAUCAGUAUUGAUUAUUUGCACUACAUAAACAAUAUACACAUUAUGCAGGUACCAUGGAUUGUAUUUCCCUUCUGAUGAAAUUGUUUUUCAUAGAGUUGAUAACUGGUUCCUCUAAUGUUCUCUAUAAUUCUUGCUAUUAAUAAUUCCUCCACCUAAAUUAUUUCUCAGCACUAUACAUUCUCAGUGUACACAUUAAUAUUUCCUUUUAAAGAUGUUUUUCUUAACUAUAUCUCUUACAGAAACUCACUAUGAAUUUCCAUCAUAGAAACUCUGUUGCACGGGCAUUUACAUUGAAUUCUUGGCCUUCGUCUUGCCAGUCUGUCUCUCUGGUCAAUUCCAAAAAUAUGUUUUAGAGCAGAAACACAUUCCUACCCAAGAUUUUAAAGUCCUAUCCAUAUGCCAUCUUAUCUCCACUGUUAAUUCUGAGAACUCUUAACACCGUCUUCAUUCAGAAGUGUAAUCUUCUGUUUCUCUGAAGGCAUUAAGAAGCUGUGUUUUCUAUCCUGUGUUCUGAAACUCCGUUGUGAUGCUUCUGAACAUAGCCAGUUUCAUUCCUUUGUUCUCCUGUUAGUCCAUGAUUCUCUUUGCUCUAAGGACUUGAUCAUUAGUACCAGGAGGUUGUCUGAUUUAAAAUUAGCAUUCAGAGGAUUGGAGCGAUAACUCAGGAGUUAAAAGUAGGUACCACACUUACAGAAUACUUGACUUCGAUAACCAGCACCCACAUUAGGUGACUCGCAGUUACCUGUAACUCCAAUAGAAUGUAACUCCAGUAGAAUUAAAGUCCUCUGGCCUCUGUGGGCACUUCUUCACACACACACACACACACACACACACACACACACACACACAUACACACACACUCGCGCGCGCACAUGCACACACUUAAUUUUUUUAAAAAAUCUUUAAAAAGUAGUGCAUAGUCGACUUUAUUAUACACUGCUCACAGAUUUGUAGUAUGAUGGACUUGGCUCAUAUUUGUGUUUGAAGAAAAGAUCCCCUUCAAUUGUUAUGAUAUGCUCCAGGGGAUUGGUAUUUCUCUCUGGACUAAUGAAUUCUGAAAUUAAACUAAUUUUCUAGCAUUUGUUACUGAAUCUAUUAUCUUUCCCCCAAAGUAUCCAGUAAUAGUAAGUCUCUGGAAGCAGAAGAUUUCUUCCAUCAAGUAGGAAACUACCGAACUUUCCAUUAAACUUAGAUGUGGUAGAGGCAAAAAAAUAAAUGAUCCAGGAAAUAUUUCACUCUGUGAGGACUUCUCUAGCACAUCUCCCACACCCAACAUCACUUUCUAUUAAAGAAAGAAGACAGCAAUGGAAACGGGGAAAGGGGCAAGAAGAUAAAGCUCCCAACCGAGGUGAAAAUUUUCAUAGUGAUAAUAUUCAUCAAUGAUAGGAUUUUUUGUUUAUGUGAGUAUCUUUCAUAAAAUCAAAAGGUGCAACCAGAAAGACAGAAUACAAUAUUUACAUUUCUAUUCUCCAUGUUCAGCACAAUGUCUACCAUUCGUUAGAUAACGAAUGACUGUGCUUGCACCACUAUUGGCUGGAUACUACCUGUCUUAGUUAGGGUUUCUAUUCCUGAACAAACAUCAUGACCAAGAAGCAAGUUGGGGAGGAAAAGGUUUAUUUGGCUUACACUUCCAUACUGCUGUUCAUCACCAAGGAAGGCAGGACUGGAAGUCAAGCAGGUCAGAAAGCAGGAGCUGAAGCAGAAGCUACGGAGGGAUGUUCUUACUGGCUUGCUUCCCCCGGCUUGUUCAGCCUGCUCUCUUAUAGAACCAAGACUACCAGCCCAGAGAUAGUCCCACCCACAAGGGGCCUUUCCCCCUUGAUCCCUAAUUGAGAAAAUGCCUUACAGUUGUAUCUCAUGAAGGCAUUUCCUUAACUGAAGCUCCUUUCUCUGUGAUAACUCCAGCUGUGUCAAGUUGACAUAAAACUAACCAGUACACACACUGAUCUAGCCACAAGGCUUUGCUUAUGUCUUCUUGCCUGAUGCAGAGUUGACAAUAGUCAAUGAAAUUUCUUUUAAUUGGCAGAGGAGAUGAUAAGUGAUGUGAGUAUUUCAAAACUAAGUGUAAACGACAGUGUUUACUGUAUGACAAAUAUGACCAAUUAGCCAGUCAUUCUCCAACUGGACUCUCUACACUUCUCAUUUUUAGAUACCAUAAUGGUCAAUGGUGUUUGAUUCUUAAAUAUGUAUUGUGUGCCAUGAGAUGUUGAUGUUAAGGAGUACACAUAACUCCAAUGAUAAAUUUUAAAUUACUUUCUGUCUAUACAUCCCAUGCAUUAAUAUGACAAAAAGUGGCUUUACACAACUCACACCGAUUUUCUAGUACAUCUACAUGACUAGAGAUGCCUAGAGUCUCCAUGAACACAUUAGUGUUUGGACACAUGCAUUUUUGAAGUAAAAAUCCACAUGGAAAUUCACUUCAUAAAACCAACACCCUAGAAAUGACCUACACUUUUCCGGACCUUCCAUCUGGAUCCUCAGCAGAUUAGCUCAUUUUUUAAUAAAACAGAAUGAAAGGAUUAGGAAAAAUAUAACAGAAAUAUGUAGAAUAGUGCCCUGUAGUUUGAAUGAUAAUUUUAAAUUAGACAGCAUGAUACAGAAUCCCUUAGGGAAAGUCAGGUCUUUUAGAAAGAAUACAUCUUAUAGCAUAGAUUUUACUCCAUUUAGAUGAUUUAUAAGAUCAGGCUGGUAAGCUCAGAUGCAGAGCCAAUACUGCAAUGUUUUUAGUUACUAAUAAUUUCUCAGGUUUUAGGUGGAAGAUUUAUUUAACUGUGAAUUAAAAAUGAAUUUAAAUAAGGAGUGUGUGUAGAAAGAUGAUGGAGAUGAAGUGUUUUAACACCUACCAGGCCACAGGCUAGGGAACAGGUGUUGAAAAAUCUAAUGAAGAUCAUUAGAAUGAUAAGUAGGAAAUAUUUUGAUCUAAAAUAGGUGGAAUAGGGUCAUAAAAAUUAUUUUUAAAUGUUCGAAAACCUGAAUCAGAAAUGAGGCCAGAGCUACACUACAUUGAACCUAAUUUAGAAUCUCUGUGUGCUGUUAAAUCAUCUCAGAAUUAGUUGAAUUACUAUCCUCCGACAUGAUACGAAUACUUAACCUACUUGCCCUGGUUGGAUAAAAUAAGUUAAAACUAUCAUAAGCUCUGAGGAGAGGAAAAAUAAAAACAAACUGUGUAUUGAUUUCUCAGAUUUAGCUCAAAAUUUCUGAGGAGCUCAGAGAACUGCUUUUCUCCUUAGAAAAAGAAAUAAAGCCAGAAUUCAGGCUCAACCCAAACAUAAAUGGGGCUUAGGAAUGACACAGUAAUACCACUUGGCAUUUCUUAAGUUAGCCUGUUCCUUCUACACUGGAUAAAAAUAAGG